UGAGGUCGGCAAGCUGGACAGAUCCAGGAAAUGGGUCUGUAGCUCAGUUGGUUAGAGCGCACCCCUGAUAAGGGU
rnacentral:tRNA from 1 species